rnacentral:rRNA from 1 species
UACAGAGGUCUCAAGCGUUUGUUCGGAUUCAUUGGGCGUAAAGGGUGCGUAGGCGGCGCGGUAAGUCGGGUGUGAAAUCUCGGAGCUUAACUCCGAAACUGCAUUCGAUACUGCCGUGCUUGAGGACUGGAGAGGAGACUGGAAUUUACGGUGUAGCGGUGAAAUGCGUAGAUAUCGUAAGGAAGACCAGUGGCGAAGGCGGGUCUCUGGACAGUUCCUGACGCUGAGGCGCGAAAGCGUGGGGAGCAAACAGG